UACCGUGGCAAUGACGGGUAACGGGGAAUUAGGGUUCGAUUCCGGAGAGGGAGCCUGAGAAACGGCUACCACAUCUAAGGAAGGCAGCAGGCGCGCAAAUUACCCAAUCCUAAUACAGGGAGGUAGUGACAAGAAAUAACAAUACAGGACUUUAAAUAGUUUUGUAAUUGGAAUGAGUUGAGUAUAAACCCCUUUACAAGUAUCAAUUGGAGGGCAAGUCUGGUGCCAGCAGCCGCGGUAAUUCCAGCUCCAAUAGCGUAUAUUAAAGUUGUUGCAGUUAAAAAGCUCGUAGUUGGAUUUCUGUUAAUAAUUUAUAUAUAAUAUUUUAUUAAUAUUUAUAUAGUAUUAACAUAAUUCAUAUUACUAUUUUAUAGUAUAUGAAAUUUUACUUUGAGAAAAUUAGAGUGCUUAAAGCAGGCAUUAGCCUUGAAUACUCCAGCAUGGAAUAAUAUAAAAGAUUUUUAUCUUUUUUAUUGGUUCUAAGAUAAAAAUAAUGAUUAAUAGGGACAGUUGGGGGCAUUUGUAUUUAACAGUCAGAGGUGAAAUUCU
rnacentral:rRNA from 1 species